GUGGGGAAUAUUGGACAAUGGGCGAAAGCCUGAUCCAGCAAUGCCGCGUGAGUGAUGAAGGCCCUAGGGUUGUAAAGCUCUUUUACCCGGGAUGAUAAUGACAGUACCGGGAGAAUAAGCUCCGGCUAACUUCGUGCCAGCAGCCGCGGUAAUACGAGGGGAGCUAGCGUUGUUCGGAAUUACUUGGCGUAAAGCGCGCGUAGGCGGUUUUUUAAGUCAGAGGUGAAAGCCCGGGGCUCAAACCCGGAAUUGCCUUUGAAACUGGAAAACUAGAAUCUUGGAGAGGUCAGUGGAAUUCCGAGUGUAGAGGUGAAAUUCGUAGAUAUUCGGAAGAACACCAGUGGCGAAGGCGACUGACUGGACAAGUAUUGACGCUGAGGUGCGAAAGCGUGGGGAGCAAACAGGAUUAGAAACCCGAGUAGUCC
rnacentral:rRNA from 1 species